rnacentral:rRNA from 1 species
UACGUAGGGUGCAAGCGUUGUCCGGAAUUAUUGGGCGUAAAGAGCUUGUAGGCGGUUUGUCGCGUCUGCUGUGAAAAUCCGGGGCUCAACCCCGGACUUGCAGUGGGUACGGGCAGACUAGAGUUCGGUAGGGGAGACUGGAAUUCCUGGUGUAGCGGUGAAAUGCGCAGAUAUCAGGAGGAACACCGGUGGCGAAGGCGGGUCUCUGGGCCGGUACUGACGCUGAGACGCGAAAGCGUGGGGAGCGAACGGG